CGCGUAGGCGGUUUGAUAAGUCGGAUGUGAAAGCCCCGGGCUUAACCUGGGAAUUGCAUUCGAUACUGUCUGACUGGAGUGUGGUAGAGGGAAGCGGAAUUCCGGGUGUAGCGGUGAAAUGCGUAGAGAUCCGGAGGAACAUCAGUGGCGAAGGCGGCUUCCUGGACCAACACUGACGCUGAGGUGCGAAAGCGUGGGGAGCAAACA
rnacentral:rRNA from 1 species